GCAUAGCAUGAGAUAGGGAAGGAAAUCUUUCACUGUCCCUGGUCUAACCCCACCAUUUUCCAAGUCCUGGGGGAGACCUCUAGGGAAAUGUCCAUCUUCAAAGGACAGUUAUAAGAAUUCAGGCUGUUUAGAGCAUGGCUCUCCUGUCUUUGAAACUCUUUGGGGAAUACCUUUCAAACUGUGCUCCUCAGUAGAAGGCUAUUUGCCUAUAAAAAUGAAAUAUCCCUUUGUAGAGACUAU
rnacentral:lncRNA from 1 species